rnacentral:rRNA from 1 species
CUGGCUCAGAACGAACGCUGGCGGCGUGGAUAAGACAUGCAAGUCGCACGGAGUGCCUUCGGGCACUGAGUGGCGCACGGGUAAGUAACACGUGAGUAACCUGCCCGUGAGACAGGGAUAGCCCCGGGAAACUGGGAUUAAUACCUGAUGGUCUCGCAAGAGUAAAGCAGCAAUGCGCUCAGGGAGGGGCUCGCGUCCUAUUAGUUAGUUGGCGGGGUAACGGCCCACCAAGGCGAUGACGGGUAGCCGGUCUGAGAGGAUGUCCGGCCACACUGGAACUGAGACACGGUCCAGACACUUACGGGUGGCAGCAGUCGAGAAUCAUUCACAAUGGGCGAAAGCCUGAUGGUGCGACGCCGCGUGGGGGAGGAAGGUCUUCGGAUUGUAAACCCCUGUCAUGUGGGAGCAAGACUUCGGUUUGAUAGUACCACAAGAGGAAGAGACGGCAAACUCUGUGCCAGCAGCCGCGGUAAUACAGAGGUCUCAAGCGUUGUUCGGAAUCACUGGGCGUAAAGGGUACGUAGGCGGCAUCAUAAGUCGUGCGUGAAAGGCAGGGGCUCAACCUCUGGAGUGCGCGUGAUACUGUGAUGCUGGAGUAAUGGAGGGGGAACCGGAAUUCUUGGUGUAGCAGUGAAAUGCGUAGAUAUCAAGAAGAAGACUCGUGGCGAAGGCGGGUUCCUGGACAUUUACUGACGCUGAGGUACGAAGGCCAGGGUAGCGAAAGGGAUUAGAUACCCCUGUAGUCCUGGCAGUAAACGGUGCACGUUUGGUGUGCGGAGAUUCGACCCUCUGCGUGCCGGAGUUAACACGUUAAACGUGCCGCCUGGGGAGUACGGUCGCAAGAUUAAAACUCAAAGAAAUUGACGGGGACCCGCACAAGCGGUGGAGUAUGUGGCUUAAUUCGAUGCAACGCGAAGAACCUUACCAAGGCUUGACAUCCCGUGACCGUCUGUGAAAGCAGAUUUUCUAUUCGUAGACACGGAGACAGGUGCUGCAUGGCCGUCGUCAGCUCGUGUCGUGAGAUGUUUGGUUAAGUCCAGCAACGAGCGCAACCCCUGCUGCCAGUUACCAUCAUUAAGUUGGGGACUCUGGCGGGACUGCCCAGAUCAACUGGGAGGAAGGUGGGGACGACGUCAGGUCAG